GGGCUCCUGCGGCCUCCUGGGCACCAGAAGCAGACCACAGGGCAGUAAAAUGAGCCCCGCUUUGGAACCAGACAGAUGCGGGUUCAGAUUUACUUACCAGGCCCUGGGCGAGGCCCCAGCUUUCUGCGCGUUGGUUUUCUCAUCUGCAAAAUGGAGAGUUCUCGUUGGGCAGACGACAGACAGAGAUGCCUGAAGGCCAGGAGAUCAGGAAAGGGCUGCUGGCACUUCCCGGGGCCUGGCCACGUGGCCGCGGCCGCUGUGAUCAGCGGCAGGCCGGGGUCCCCACCACCAUGCUCCAGCGUGGGAGCCGCGCUGGGCCCACGCCCUUGCUCUGACAGCGGGCACCAGGGAUGCGCUGAGGCCGGGACAGAGGAGCAGCACAGGGUCUCCUGUCUCCGGGAGCUGCAGUCUUCCCUCGAGGACACCAGCCAAGGACACCAGCUGCAAGCUUACCCCAAAGGCUAUUACACCUCUCCCAAUCUAUGUCAUGAUAUAUUCAGAAAAGAUCUAGCCCAUGUGGACAUCCCAGAGAACUCUGUAUUGAUCCACUGCAUCAAUGACAUUAUGCUGAUUGGCGAGAACAAGCAAGAGGUGGCUAGCAUCUGAAAGCCUUGAUUUUGCUUAUCCGUGAGAGACACACAGAGAGAGAGAGGCAGAAACACAGUCAGAGGGAG